CAAAAAACAUAACAAAUAAAACAAAAAAAUGCCAUUGAAUUGUACAAUUUCCAUAUGUAUUUAUUUUGCAUACUAAAUGCCUAUCAGAUGUAUAAUUUGAAACAUCUCCACAGAUUGCUGGUUCUUCAAUAGAAACUUUUUAACGUAAAGUUAUUUGACUUUUUUGUGUGUUUUGUUUUGUUUUUAUUUCUGGCAUUUUGGGAGUGACAUCCAAGAGAUCAUUGAUUUCCCAGGCCUGGACCAUGAAAUUUCUCCCUGUUUUCUUCUGAGAGUUUUACCCGUUUUGAAGUGGUUUUUCAGUAUUGUAGAAGCAGAGGGCAUGCUUUCAGUAAACUACCUUUUCCUCCAGUCUGAGUUCUUGGACAAAGAUCAGUUGGUUGUCCACGCAUGGGUUUGUUUCUGGGUUCUCCACUGUGUGUGCAGUGUGCCUGCUUCCAUGCCAGCACCACACUGAUCUAAUUACUGUAACUUUGUAGGUUAUACCUUUUAAAAGCAGGGUACAUCAGGUCUCCAGGUUUGUUUUUCUUUGUCAGGACAGUUUUGAGAUGGGCUAAGCUGUAGCUCAUGGGUAGAAGAGGGCUUGCCUAGCAUGCAAAAGAUUGUGUGUUUGAUCCCGAAUGUCAGAGAGGAAAAAAAAAAUCAUGGAUCGGGUUUUACUGGGUAUGGUAGUUUGUAUGAGAAUGACUCCCAUAGGCGCAGAUGUUUAAAUACUUGGUCCCAUUUGGUGGCACUGUUUGGGGGAGAUUGAGAAGAUGUGAUCUCGCUGGAGGAAGUGUGUUACUUGAAGUUUCACAAACACAUGCCCUUUUCAGCGUGCUCUCUUGAGAUGCUUGGAGUUCCAGACGUGAGCCCGUAGCUUCUGCUCCAACCACUAUGUCUGCUGCUUGCUGCCAUGCUUUUUCCUUCUGGCAGGUUCUUAUCCCGCUGGAGGCGCAAGACAAAUAAGGUCUUGCUUUUUGUUUCCACAGAGAACCCCAGUCUCCUUUCUGAGAAGUGAAGAUAUUACCUUCGCUGCAGGUGACCGCGGAGAUCUGGUGUGUGUGCUAAUGUGCCUGCCAGGGUUUCUCUGUGCUGCUUUGGAGCCUGUCCUGGAACUCGCUCUGUAGACC